AAGUCGUAACAAGGUCUCCGUUGGUGAACCAGCGAGGGAUCAUUACUGAGUGUAAAAACUCCCAAACCCACUGUGAACAUACCACUGUUGCUUCGGCGGACACGCCCCGGGCGCCCCCCCCCUUCCGUAGGGAUGGUGCCCCGGAUCCAGGCGCCCGCCGGGGACCCCCAAAACCACUGUAUUUCCCCGCCACGGNNCGUAUCUUCUGAGUGUGAUUUCCACAAAUCAACUUAAAACUUUCAACAACGGAUCUCUUGGCUCUGGCAUCGAUGAAGAACGCAGCGAAAUGCGAUAAGUAAUGCGAAUUGCAGAAUUCAGUGAAUCAUCGAAUCUUUGAANGCACAUUGCGCCUCCCAGUAUUCUGGGAGGACGCCUGUCUGAGCGUCAUUUCAACCCUCGCACCUGGCUCGCGCCGGCGGCGGNGUUGGGNAACGGCCGCGCCCCCUAGUGGGGUGGCCGUCCCCUAAAUUCAGUGGCGACCUCGCCGUAGCCUCCCCCGCGCAGUAGUAAAACACCUCGCGGGCGGAGGGCGGAGUGGUCACGCCGUAAACCCCCCACACUAUCACAAGGUUGACCUCAGAUCAGGCGAGACUACCCGCUGAACUUAAGCAUAUCAAUAAGCGGAGGAAAAGAAACCAACAGGGAUUGCCUCAGUAACGGCGAGUGAAGCGGCAACAGCUCAAAUUUGAAAUCUGGCCCCAGGCCCGAGUUGUAAUUUGCAGAGGAUGUUUCUGGCGAGGUGCCUUCCGAGUUCCCUGGAACGGGACGCCGUAGAGGGUGAGAGCCCCGUACGGUCGGCCGCUAAGCCUAUGUGAAACUCCUUCAACGAGUCGAGUAGUUUGGGAAUGCUGCUCUAAAUGGNUGGUGUACGCCAUCUAAAGCUAAAUACCGGCCAGAGACCGAUAGCGCACAAGUAGAGUGAUCGAAAGAUGAAAAGCACUUUGAAAAGAGGGUUAAACAGUACGUGAAAUUGUUGAAAGGGAAGCGCUCAUGACCAGACCUGGGCCGGUUGAUCAUCCGCCGUUCUCGGUGGUGCACUCUGCCAGCCCAGGCCAGCAUCGGUCUGGCGCGGGGGUCAAAGGUUCCGGGAAUGUGGCUCCCCCCGGGGAGUGUUAUAGCCCGUUGCGUAAUGCCCUGCGCUGGACCGAGGUAUGCGCUCCACAAGGAUGCUGGCGUAUGGUCAUCAGUGACC
rnacentral:rRNA from 1 species